GCUGGGCAUGGUGGUGCAUGCUUGUAAUCCCUGCAACUUGGGAGGCUGAGGAAGGAGUAUUGCAAGUUUGAGGCCAGCCUCAACAACUUAGCUAGGCUCUAAACUAUUUAGCAAGACCCUGUCUCUA
rnacentral:sRNA from 1 species